UACGAGGGGGGCGAGCGUUGUUCGGAAUUAUUGGGCGUAAAGGGUGCGUAGGCGGUUCGGUAAGUUUCGUGUGAAAUCUUCGGGCUCAACUCGAAGCCUGCACGAGAUACUGCCGGGCUUGAGUAUGGGAGAGGUGAGUGGAAUUUCCGGUGUAGCGGUGAAAUGCGCAGAUAUCAGGAAGAACACCCGUGGCUAAGGCGGCUCUCUAGUACGGUACUGACGCUGAGACGCGAAAGCGUGGGGAGCGAACAGG
rnacentral:rRNA from 1 species